CAGACCCUCCACUUGCCACGC
rnacentral:misc_RNA from 1 species